rnacentral:rRNA from 1 species
GAUGAACGCUAGCGGCAGGCCUAACACAUGCAAGUCGAGGGGUAGAAGGAGCUUGCUCCUUUGAGACCGGCGCACGGGUGCGUAACGCGUAUGCAAUCUACCUUGUACAGGGGAAUAGCCCAGAGAAAUUUGGAUUAAUGCCCCAUAGUAUAUAACCUUCGCAUGUUGGUUAUAUUAAAGUUCCAACGGUACAAGAUGAGCAUGCGUCCCAUUAGUUAGUUGGUAAGGUAACGGCUUACCAAGACGGUGAUGGGUAGGGGUCCUGAGGGGGAGAUCCCCCAGACGGGUACUGAGACACGGACCAGACUCCUACGGGAGGCAGCAGUGAGGAAGAGUGGGCAAUGGAAGAAAGACUGAACCAGCCAUGCCGCGUGCAGGAAGACGGUCCUAUGGAUUGUAAACUGCUUUUAGACAAGAAGAAACCCUCCCACGUGUGGGAGCUUGACGGUACUGUAGGAAUAAGGAUCGGCUAACUCCGUG